CUUUUGUUGUUAGGAUGUAAUUAGAUGCUAAUGUUAGAAUUAGUACUAAAUGAAAUAUUGUUAAAAAAUAUAUAAUAGAAUCCAUCCAUCCACCUUUAUAAACCAUAAAAAUUACCCCUUCCAAAGAAAACAUAAAAAUAAAGGCUUCUCCCUUUAAAUCAAUUACAAAUCCUACAGAACAGAGGAAAGAUAUAUAUAAUCUAC
rnacentral:lncRNA from 1 species